UUAACUAUUAUAUAGUACUCAGACGACACUAACAUUCAGGGUUUGGGGUCCUCUGGCGGGCGCGUACCAGCCGGAGCCGGUAGCCUGGCCGAAGCCUGGCGGCCCGCCAAAGCAACAAAGGUUAGAAUAACACAGGGUGGGAGAUCUACCCGUGAGGGCACGAACUCUGUAAUGAUCCCUCCGCAGGUUCACCUACGGAGA
rnacentral:misc_RNA from 1 species